AGACAGAAGGCGCAGGGAAGCCCCUCCGUGAUGGGGACAGAGGGGACUGACACCGCUGCCAGCCAGCAACGCCAAGGCACCCGGGAGCCCCAGCAGCUGAAAGGGGCUGACGCCUCGCUGCCUCCAGGACUGUCGUUUCUCGUCACCCGGCAUGAGCCGCCCCGGGAAGCGAAGACGGAGGCGUGGACUGAGGUGCUUUGCCGUGACAUGUGUAACAAAGCAGAUUCUGCCCAGGAGCAGAUGUGUUUGUGGCCACUUGCCGUGUCCUUGCAGGGAAUGCCAAAGACUGUACUGUUGUCACCACAGCAUCCAAAGGACACGGAUUACAAAGCAGUACCUAAGAUGACUUAUAAGCCACUUUGGGAGCUGCCAUGCUCUGGCGCGGACCCCACGGGUGGGUGCUGCUGUCACGCUCCGCACAGUGCCCUGACCCACGUGUGCCUGCCCGAGUCACAUCGAGCAGUGGCCUGCAGCUGAGGGUCCGGCUGAGCGGAGGUGGCGCUGGAUGCGCCGUGUCCGUGUCCCGUCCCGGGAGUUUACAGUUUGCCUUGGGAGGUGAUCUGACUGGCCACAGUCUGGAGGCCUGGAGGGGCCGAGGCCAGAAGCAGCAUGAAGAGUCCGGGGAGCCAGGCCGCACCCAGUGGACAGGGCUCAGCUUGGGGACUGGAGGGCAGCUGCGACCUGGGCACUCUGGGUAGAGGGAGGGGCUCACUCCGAAACUGACGGCACUGACGGCCGGAACCCAGCCUAAACCCAGACUGGGACUCGAACCCACGGUUUUAAAUGAGAAUCCCUCACCCUGUGUCUGGACUCCCUGAGGUCAGGUUCUUCAUGUCUCUGCGCAGAAGGAAUUCAGCGAGAGACAAAGUGAUGGGCACGAGGCAGAUUUAUUAGGAUAGGACGCUUGUGAGAGGCGCCAGCGGGCAGGCGAGGAGGCUCUGCCCCGGAAGGUCCGGUGGGCCGCAGUUUUAUCCUCCAGGGGAGUGGGGGUCGGAAAGGGCCGCCUCUUCCUUUCUGGGAGUCGCAGCUCCUCCUUAGCAUCGGGUCAGGUGUGUAUUCAGGUCCGCUGAGGGGCGGUCCUCAGACUCCUGCCCUGGGUCUGAAUCUGAAUGCAGCCCUCCUCCCAGCCCCCACCCAGUGACCCGAGGCAGUUCUCCUACCUCCACCUGCGAAGCAAGCCUGCCUUGUGCUGAUGGCUUUCCUGAACCACCAGUGGGCUCCUGGCAGGUUUCCCUCGGUAUCUGUGACCCCCCUUUGAGGCGGCUACAACCACCUGUGCCUGCUCCAUCCCUAUCAACCCUGCCUUCUCUCCCCUCCGUCCCCUGGACCGGGUGCAGCUGGAGGGGGGGCGUGCUGUGACCCCUGGGGGUGAGCCACCCUCCCCAGAAGGUCUCAGGGAGCACAGCCCAGCUGCUGCCGCGUGCCUGGCAAGGUAUGUAGGGAGCAGGGGUCCCGUCUUGCCCUCACCGGUGCCUAGCGGUGGCGGUGGCAGAGGCCCCGGUGCUCAAACCAAAGGGGAGGCCUGCCUCAGAGAUGAGCGAGGGUCACAGCCUGGGGACAGCCACUCUGUCAGUGCCUCCCUCGUCACUUGCCCUGUGGCUCUUGGCAAAAAAUAUCUUUAAAACCAAAAAAGAUGUUCGCUGUGCGUCCCUGAUCAAGAUUCACAAGAAAGAGGAAAAGUGGAAAAAAAGUGACAUCCUGUUUUUCAGCCAGGUUUGGGGGGAGCUUGGGGGGGGGCGUCUGAGACAGGGCCCCAAGGGAUAAAGUGGGUGACAGUGGCAGCACAGAGAAGACAGAGGCUGCCUGGGUAUGAGUCUGGUCCAGCUGCCUCAUAGGGAAGGGGUCUGGAAUUCCCGGGGAGGCAGAAGGAAGCUGUGAGGGUCUCAGCGGGUCUUGGGGGGGGCACUGCCAUCCAGCUCAGGAGCACGGGUCCUGGAGGUGGAGGAGGUCGGGCUGCGGGAUGGGGAGAGGGCAGGAGGGACGACGGAGGGGGUUUCUCUUCGGCGCGAACAUCUGCCAGGCUAAGGGGGGAAGGUGGCUGGCCACGUAGGGACCUGGACCAGGUUUUAGCAGCAGCGUGGCUAAACGCUGGACGACGCCACAAAGACGCACAGACGGCCAGAAGCCUGUGAAAUACGCUCACCAUCGCCAGCCGUGAGCACUUCACUGGAAUCGAGAAUUUAAUAAAGAACUUGAGGAUGUGUGAAGGAGGACAUGCCCUGAUGAGUCGCCCUAAAGUUGUCACGUGUGUGGAUAAUUACGUAACUCAUGGUCACGUAAGGAAGUAAGACAUAAAAGGAACAUAAAAAUCAUCUAUAAUCCCCCCACCCAGGGCCAGUCAUGGAUUGCAUUUCAGGACCUGCACAACCAGAUGCUUUCAUGUGUGUAACUCAGGCGAGUCAGUUUACAGCCAAGAUUUUACUCCUUGGACUCAAUUAUACUUGAAAUCCUGUUCUUGGUUCUCAGCUUACUCCCUCCUCCCAACAAUCCCGGGUAAAUGUCAUUCAGGAUAAGAAACAUACGUUUUCAACCAUGUCCCGGGCAAAGGUGUGUGUGCGUGUGUUUCUCAGCCUGUCUCAUCAUGGGACGUUUAUAGACGGCCUCCGGUUUUUCAGUAUCAGAAACAAAGCUUCAACAAAUAUCUUCGCUGCUCAAGACAGUUACACUUUAUUAUUAUACCUUUCUUCUUUUUCCUUAGGAUAAGUUCCAGCACUUUCUGAUAAAGUAAUUCAAUUGUACAGGCGCAUGUGUGCGGCUCUUGAUCACGAGUUACCAGUCGCUCUGAUUUCUGCCUGUGGAAUUAAUCGUCCUUAGCGGCUCCUAUCGCUGGUGCCGGGCGGCCCGGCUCCCUCAGAUGUGAGCAACCUAAUCGGUGACCUCGCCAGCCCUCCGCCUCUCCCGUCACUCAUUCUGGGACAAACGGCUCUUGUUCUGCUUUUCAUUUGCAAAGACUUCCUAUUCCUCUGUUUUUUUUUUUUUUUAAAUCAGAGCUGAGCUUAAAUCGCUUAAACGGGGGUUUAACAAGAAACCUUGCAACGGCUUCUACUUUUAAAUACUCAGUGGCUCUUUCAAAAUAGGACGGUGUAAAUAAAGCUUAUGGCUGAGCACAGGCUAGGGACGCGUCCCUGGGGUUGCAGUUACUUUGCUUUUGCCGUGUCUUCAGUUUUGCAGACAAGCAAUUCAGUCUGCCAAUGGAACGCUUCCUUUUUGCAAUAAGGACAAUUUGGGGAAUUGUAAUUUAGCAAAUGGUAACUUCGUCAGUGUGCUUUGGUAACGAAUUUCCUUCUUGGGUACAAAGGGUGCCGUGUGACACUUCUGAACGUUAAGAACGGAGCCGCCACCUACUCAGGGUCAC
rnacentral:lncRNA from 1 species